rnacentral:misc_RNA from 1 species
AACGCACAUUGCGCCCCUUGGUAUUCCGAGGGGCAUGCCUGUUCGAGCGUCAUUAUAACCACUCAAGCCUAGCUUGGUAUUGGGGUUCGCGUGCCCGCGGCCCUUAAAAUCAGUGGCGGUGCCGUCUGGCUCUAAGCGUAGUAAUUUUCUCGCUAUAGUGUCCUGGCGGUUACUUGCCAGAACCCCCCACAUUUUUAGGUUGACCUCGGAUCAGGUAGGGAUACCCGCUGAACUUAA